UAUCGCCUUAUAAUUCAUACACGAGAAACACAAUUCGGAAGCUUUAAGCCAGUGAUAUGUGUGGCGACUGCACAUUCUCAUCAUGCGUUUUAAUGGAAUCAAAUCUGAUGUAAGGGAAGCGUCGUCAGCUUCAUAAAGGAGAGACGAGAGUUCUCAGACUUACACGAUCUCACUUUGAGGGAGAGAGAGAGAGAGAGAGGGCGUUUCGCCUGAAAAAUCAGAUUCGAAGGAGCUUGUUCUUUGAUCGAAAUGGCUUCAAGACCCAUCAGAGUUCCAGUGCGAGCGAAAGUCUUGAAAAAUUAAUAGGCCUAUGCGCACAUCUUCUUGGUAAUAUUGAUCUUGUGAUCCGCCAAAGCCAUCGUGUGUUGUCAGCUGAUCCUUGGUGAUUGCAGACAAAUUGGUCACGGGAUGAGCCCUCCUACACUCUGUGGCUUUCAACUUUCGAGGGAAGGGACGGAACUGUGUUUGGCCGGCCCUGGUUAUAGCUUUUCCUAAUGCUCUGUUCUCGGUGGUGAUUCUGUUUCUGUAGUCUUGAAAAAUUAAUAGCCCUAUGCGCGCAUCUU